UCUAAUUUACCUUUCCUAUUAUUUCAGUACAAAUUGAACCUUUACCUGGACCAAACCUCGCAGACCCAUCCCACUGCCCUUUUCCCUAAACCUAAGAUCCUCUAUUCUCUCCUUCCCUGAUUCAACAACAAACAUACGCACAACUCCAAGCUCAACAACAAGAAGAACAAGCCCUAAAUUCCCAAAUUUACCCAUCAAUUUUCCUCUUUUCUCCCUCAAAUUCAUACUAUCAGCGUUCCUUGCACGAUACCCAGUACAAAUGAAGGUUCCAGGAGGUUUCCCAAUUGGUAUUAUCCAUCCAAUUCUCCUUUUUCUUUUUUACAAUUCCCAUUUGAAAUUCCUACGAAAUCGUGCGUUCCAGCCUUGCAACCUUAUCCGCUCAAUGAUUUUUGAAAGUUUCCCAAUUCCCACAUCGUUUCCCCCCUUCAAAUCGACCCAGAUGCUUCCCUAUAAUAAACCCCAUUUCAUUCACUGUUGGGGGAUGUUUUUUUGGAGGCUAGAAAAGAACACCCUCUUGUUUGGGAGUUCUUAAUUUUUCUAGAAAGUUUUUCUCUCCCUCGGUUGUCCUAGUUACAUUUUAGUGGUGGAAUGGUCUCCGAGAACUCGAGUUUCAGUUUGCUGCCCAGAACCAGGUCUCAAUCGGCUCCCCAUCUCUUGCAUAUUCGUCUUUUCGAGUCAACCUCCAUCAAGCUGUUUCAAAGGGAAGCUAAUAUCAUAGAGUGGCAGCAGCUCAGUAGAAGAAUAAUUGCAGUCCCAAAGGGAUGGAAAUUGAGAUUCUGGAUUUAAGAAUCCAAAUUGAUCACAGUAGCAGCGGGAAUCAAAAAUGGGCAAGAGACUGCCUUUUUCUAGCUAUUCAGUUCUCUACUUUACUUUAGUUCCUUUAUUUGUGAAUCUAUGAUAAUUGUGAUAAUUGUUACUAACUUUUUAUUAUUAAGUUAGAUGAAUCCUUGGGAGAUUCUAAUGGAUUUUUCGCUA